CUCUAGAAGGAAAAUUACGAAAUGGCGGUUGAAAUCAACUUGAGGACAGUGAUAGUGUUUACCGUGUUUUCAGCGGUAAAAUCAACUACUCUAAAAGAUGGCCACCUUUUAACGCCUAAUGUAACUGGCAGUAUGAAAGGAUUUCAUGACCUUUCCCGGCGUGUGACGUAUCCAGAGAAAAAAUGGCGUGGCGGUGAGGAAACAUUUAUUCAUAACGGCUACAGAGGCGAUCCGGAGACGAGAAGUUUGACGAAACGUUCGGAAGUCGUAAGAUGCAUUUCGCGCUUUACGAGAGACAGCAUCUACAACAAUUGUAUACGACCCUGUUCAAAAAUUAACUGUAUUAACGGAAAGUGCGAUGGUCGCACCGAAUGCAAGUGUAACGACGGAUACGUCAAGUCCCAAACCAAUAGCUUCAUCUGCCAUUCAAAGUGCAGACCCUGCCUGCCUGGGGAAUGCACCAAGUCGCAACUCUGUACCUGUGACAAAGGUUACAGGUUGAGUUCGAACCAACAAACUUGCGAACCGAUAUGCAAUGCGCAACGCUGCAAUGGAGAACUUUGCGUCAGUCCGAAUGUCUGCUACGUGGAUUCGCCCUACUACUCCAAAUUUGUAUAUGGUCAGUAUUGCAGUAGGGAGUGUAGGUUUGGCGAAUGCGUUGGUCUUGAUACCUGCAAAUGCUUCAACGGCUACAAUAAGACGAAAGAUGGUCGGUGUGCCGAUCCGAUUUGUAACGAGGGGUGUGGACAUGGCAGAUGCGUUGGUCCUAAUACCUGCGAAUGCUUCAAAGGCUACAAUAAGACGAAAGAUGGUCAGUGUUUCGAUCCGAUUUGUAACAAGGGGUGUGGACAUGGCAGAUGCGUUGGUCCUAAUACCUGCGAAUGCUUCAAAGGCUACAAUAUGACGAAAGAUGGUCGGUGUUUCGAUCCGAUUUGUAACAAGGGGUGUGGACAUGGCAGAUGCGUUGGUCCUAAUACCUGCGAAUGCUUCAAAGGCUACAAUAUGACGAAAGAUGGUCGGUGUUUCGAUCCGAUUUGUAACAAGGGGUGUGGACAUGGCAGAUGCGUUGGUCCUAAUACCUGCGAAUGCUUCAAAGGCUACAAUAUGACGAAAGAUGGUCGGUGUUUCGAUCCGAUUUGUAACAAGGGGUGUGGACAUGGCAGAUGCGUUGGUCCUAAUACCUGCGAAUGCUUCAAAGGCUACAAUAUGACGAAAGAUGGUCGGUGUUUCGAUCCGAUUUGUAACAAGGGGUGUGGACAUGGCAGAUGCGUUGGUCCUAAUACCUGCGAAUGCUUAAACGGCUACAAUAAAACGAAAGAUGGUCAAUGCACUUAUCCAAUCUGCAAAGAAGAGUGCAAAUAUUCAUCAUGUACCGGUCCACAUAUCUGUACUUGUCGUCUGGGGUACGAAAAACCCUUUGAAAAUUCGACAAGGUGCGUUCCUCGCUGUACAAGAUGUAACAACGGUAUCUGCGACGGCCCUGAGAUUUGCCGUUGCCAUAGUGGAUUUGUAAAUCCCAAAAGUGAUAAUGGAACCUGCGUCAAAUGCAACUCGGAGAGUAACCAUGACGUGUGUCCUGACAGUGGAUGCGAUUGCUGUCCUGGCUGGAAGGGGGAAUCCCGCAACGCGUCACUUUGGUGUGCUAUCACGAAUCGUCAGAACUCUACAUACACAGCAAGUGAGCGGAAGGAUUCGAGAAGAACUAACAAUACAAUCGAUUGUCAUCGAAUCAAGUGGGACGGACCAAUUUGUAAACAGGAAUGUUCCGACCAACUCGAUAAUAGCAGUAUCAACUUCACCGGUUGUUGCACGGAGAUGGGUCAUCGUCUCAUAGAGAUCGACUCACUGUGCAAUCGUUCCGUUGAGAAGACUUUCUUGGAAAAAAACAGAAUCUUGCUGAUCGGAACUGGGAUAGCAAUUCUAUUGAUCGCAGUUUUCAUCUGCAUUAGUGUUGCCGUAAAAAGAAGAGCCGAAACAACGGACAAAAUAUACAGUGAACCGGCAGAAUACGUAUCCAACAACUAUAUGGUAGAAAAUGACAUUUAUUUGCAAAGUUCGACUGUGUGAUUUGAAGUUUACCAACUCAUGCGUUGAAAAAUAUUGCAUACUCUCUGUAUAUAUUAUGUUGACCGUAUAUCUGUAAAUAUUCAAUUAUUAUUUGUAUUCUAAGGCCCAAGAUCGUAAGAUAGUUGACACGUGAAUAGAUCAAGUUUGCUCACAGAAUAAUGACGACACGUUCAGUGAUCGAUUUAAAUACCUACCCUGAUGAAUCUCAUUGACUGCAAAAAAUUCCAUUGCCGCAUAUUUUGGUCAACAAGAUUAUACGGGAACCGGAGUCGUCAAUAAAACCUGCGCUGAAAGUUAAGGUAAAAUCUUGUAAGUUUCAGUCCAUGUGUGGUAUUUUCAUACGUAGAAAAUAAUAACCCGUACUUGCUACGAGGUCGUUCUUUGGCGAAAUAUUUCUUUUCGCUGCAAUUAAAUAAUUCAAUUAAAUUUUUUCACUCUGUUUCUGAGAAAAAUAUUGAAGGACAGUUAUUUCAAACCUUACUUGUGUAAUGAUAAGGAAUUUGGUGGUUGCUUAACCGUGAUGUGGUCAUGACGCAGAACGUAAUAUUCGCGUCCGAUGACGAUGGCUAAAGUCCGUAGUUUACCACUAACUUUUCACUUCCCUAACACGUUGGUAUUAGCAUUUAUUAAUUAUUAUAAGAAAGGAUUGCAAUGGUCGCCGAUACUGCCAGGUGGACCACGAUUGUGUUGGUUACAGUAGGAUUUUCCGUACGUCCACGAGGUAAAGUCGACUGUGAAGUGCACGCAGGAUUAUCGAUCUUCUUAUUCUUAAGGUUGAAAAAAAAUGUUAAACACGAACUUGGUUUCCAUCGAUUGGAAAGAAAUCUGACUCGACGAUUUGCCUUGUUCACCGCUUGUACGUACGUAAUUCAUUCACAGCUGCCUAGAAUUACGGAAAGUCCCUUAUCAAGAGUCUUACACCGAGAAAUGCUGGUUGUUCUUCACCUGCGACGGAUCGUGUACCGGUUACAUCAUUGACGUCAGAGCAGCUCUUGACUGUGAACGUGAAUCUGGAAAAAACAAAACAGCCUACGUUCACGAAAAUCAAAGAUCUGUCAAUAAGAGCAGAUGUGACAGUGGCUUGGAAGGCGAACCCUGCGAUGAGCCAGAUCUGUGUGUGAUCGCCGAACUCGACGGAGAAGAGGUUGCCAAACGAACCAGGAACGAUACUUCCGUAACCAACUGGCAAGAGUUCCCUGCUUGCCGACAGAAAUGUCUCGACGAACUACGCGGAAAGGUUGUCCAUUCUACCCAGAUUCUCGCAAACAUAACGUACUAUUUGAUUCCUGCUCAUUCCCAGUGCAACGCUACGGAAACUUAUGAGCCAUUUUAUGCGAAACAUGCUAAUAUAACGGCAGCAGUAAUCUUGGCAGGCAUAACAUUUCUGUUCGGGAUUAUCAGCACUGCUUGCAUCCUCCGGAAAAAAAAAGAAACAAAAGUCGACGAGAAAGAUGUAACGGCGCGAUUUUGCGACCAACGAACACAACGAGGAAAACACACUUUAUAUGGCCACUGGGAGUCGUAGGCGAUCUCCAUAUCCGACGACAAAAUCGUACGAUAUGUUUCUUCCGAUCUCUAACAUC
rnacentral:misc_RNA from 1 species